rnacentral:misc_RNA from 1 species
GAAGAGGAAGGAAGGUGCUGGUGGUUGAAGUGGUGGUGGUGGUGUGUUGGUGUGAGUAAGGAGAAAGGUUGAAGAUGAGCCAGAGUCGCAGCCCUCCCAGGGAUCGCAGGAUCCGCAACGAGCGCUCCUCGUAUCGUGAUGCCCCUUAUAGGAGAGAGACUCGUGGGGACUCGAGGCGUGGUGUAGACCUGUGCAAGAAUUGUAAGAGGCCUGGCCAUUUUGCCAGAGAAUGCCCCAAUGUGGGAUUAUGCAACAACUGUGGCCUUCCAGGGCACAUCGCAGCUGAGUGCAGUGCCAAGGUUAUCUGCUGGAACUGCAAGGAGCCUGGCCACCUGGCCAGCAAGUGUGAGAAUGAAGGCAUCUGCCACACCUGUGGCAAGAAGGGUCACCUCGCUAGGGACUGCUCUGCCCCUCAGCUGCCCCCGGGUGAUCUAAGGCUCUGCAACAACUGCUACAAGCAGGGGCACAUUGCGGCCGA